AUUGAACGCUGGCGGCAGGCCUAACACAUGCAAGUCGAGCGGAUGAAGGGAGCUUGCUCCUGGAUUCAGCGGCGGACGGGUGAGUAAUGCCUAGGAAUCUGCCUGGUAGUGGGGGAUAACGUCCGGAAACGGGCGCUAAUACCGCAUACGUCCUGAGGGAGAAAGUGGGGGAUCUUCGGACCUCACGCUAUCAGAUGAGCCUAGGUCGGAUUAGCUAGUUGGUGGGGUAAAGGCCUACCAAGGCGACGAUCCGUAACUGGUCUGAGAGGCUGAUCAGUCACACUGGAACUGAGACACGGUCCAGACUCCUACGGGAGGCAGCAGUGGGGAAUAUUGGACAAUGGGCGAAAGCCUGAUCCAGCCAUGCCGCGUGUGUGAAGAAGGUCUUCGGAUUGUAAAACACUUUAAGUUGGGAGGAAGGGCAGUAAGUUAAUACCUUGCUGUUUUGACGUUACCAACAGAAUAAGCACCGGCUAACUUCGUG
rnacentral:rRNA from 1 species